AUGUGUGUGUUCUUGAUGCCUGCCGUCGUUUGCCCACACUGCUUUCGCAGGCAAGCUUGUGGUGCUCCAUUUCUGGCUGGUGGCUGGAGGUUGGUGAGUCAGGUCCAGAUCUGGGCUUUUACGCAGGCUGUUACAUCAGGGGCUAAUCUGGAAUAUGAAUUGUCUGUAUGUGGGAGUCCAAGAGAUCAUGGGGAUCUACCAAGUGGGGACGUGCCUAUUGUCAGCCACUCAUCCAUUAUUUGUCAGUCACCGCAGCAAAAGGACAUGAGAGGCACUCGUCGACCUCUACCCUGCAACAUACGUCAACUUGGUCCCAGCCACAAUGUUCAACCAACCGUAGCUAGCUGGGCCAACUUGCCUAUUCUUGGCACAAUCUCUGGGGGUGUGUUUUCUUGUAAUAUUUGUAGGUUGUAUGUGUUGAAACUAGUUAAGUACUUUGCCUUUCUAGUCUUUUCUAAGGAUUACAAUUUGUCGCGUGUGCAUGGAUGA
rnacentral:rRNA from 1 species